AGAGUUUGAUCCUGGCUCAGGACGAACGCUGGCGGCACGCUUAACACAUGCAAGUCGAACGAGAGAAGAGGAGCUUGCUUUUCUGAUCUAGUGGCGGACGGGUGAGUAACACGUGAGCAAUCUGCCUUUCAGAGGGGGAUACCGAUUGGAAACGAUCGUUAAUACCGCAUAACAUAAUUGAACCGCAUGAUUUGAUUAUCAAAGAUUUAUCGCUGAAAGAUGAGCUCGCGUCUGAUUAGCUAGUUGGUAAGGUAACGGCUUACCAAGGCGACGAUCAGUAGCCGGACUGAGAGGUUGAUCGGCCACAUUGGGACUGAGACACGGCCCAGACUCCUACGGGAGGCAGCGGUGGGGAAUAUUGCACAAUGGAGGAAACUCUGAUGCAGCGAUGCCGCGUGAGGGAAGAAGGUUUUAGGAUUGUAAACCUCUGUCUUCAGGGACGAAAAAAGACGGUACCUGAGGAGGAAGCUCCGGCUAACUACGUGCCAGCAGCCGCGGUAAUACGUAGGGAGCGAGCGUUGUCCGGAAUUACUGGGUGUAAAGGGAGCGUAGGCGGGAUCGCAAGUCAGAUGUGAAAACUAUGGGCUUAACCCAUAAACUGCAUUUGAAACUGUGGUUCUUGAGUGAAGUAGAGGUAAGCGGAAUUCCUAGUGUAGCGGUGAAAUGCGUAGAUAUUAGGAGGAACAUCAGUGGCGAAGGCGGCUUACUGGGCUUUAACUGACGCUGAGGCUCGAAAGCGUGGGGAGCAAACAGGAUUAGAUACCCUGGUAGUCCACGCCGUAAACGAUGAUUACUAGGUGUGGGGGGACUGACCCCUUCCGUGCCGCAGCAAACGCAAUAAGUAAUCCACCUGGGGAGUACGACCGCAAGGUUGAAACUCAAAGGAAUUGACGGGGGCCCGCACAAGCAGUGGAGUAUGUGGAUUAAUUCGAAGCAACGCGAAGAACCUUACCAGGUCUUGACAUCGUAUGCAUAGCUCAGAGAUGAGUGAAAUCUCUUCGGAGACAUAUAGACAGGUGGUGCAUGGUUGUCGUCAGCUCGUGUCGUGAGAUGUUGGGUUAAGUCCCGCAACGAGCGCAACCCUUACUGUUAGUUGCUACGCAAGAGCACUCUAGCAGGACUGCCGUUGACAAAACAGAGGAAGGUGGGGAUGACGUCAAAUCAUCAUGCCCCUUAUGACCUGGGCCUCACACGUACUACAAUGGCUGUCAACAGAGGGAAGCAAAGCCGCGAGGUGGAGCGAACCCCUAAAAGCAGUCUUAGUUCGGAUUGUAGGCUGCAACCCGCCUACAUGAAGUCGGAAUUGCUAGUAAUCGCAGAUCAGCAUGCUGCGGUGAAUACGUUCCCGGGCCUUGUACACACCGCCCGUCACGCCAUGGGAGUCGGUAACACCCGAAGCCUGUAGUCUAACCGCAAGGAGGACGCAGUCGAAGGUGGGAUUGAUGACUGGGGUGAAGUCGUAACAAGGUA
rnacentral:rRNA from 1 species